CAUGGAAUAGAGUCCCAGGGUGGCGUCCGGGGUGGAAUGUUCUCCUCGGUCUACUUCAUUGUUCUUACACUGUUUGGAAACUACACACUUCUCAAUGUAUUCUUGGCCAUUGCUGUGGAUAACCUUGCCAAUGCACAGGAGCUGACAAAGGAUGAAGAGGAACAA